UCCAGUUCACACUGCACAGUGUAAGAGAAGGAAAUGAGGAAGACUGGACAGAUCGCUUAAGGAUGAGCUUUACCUUGAGAAGAAGUCAGUCUCUAAAGACUCUUUCUGGAGGUCAUAGUUCAUGGUCCACAUCACAGAUUCUGUUGUGGGACAAGAGGACAUCUGUGUCUCAGCUUGUUCAAAAGUAUGAAAGCUGUGUAGACCUCACAGAUGUUGGCAGAGAAGAGACCUGGUCUAAGACAUCCGGGCUGAGAAGAUCAAACCAUGCUGAGAUUCAAGAGAGUAAAGUUGAGAGUCUCUGGAGGAAAUAUGAGUCCUUCAGUGCCUCUAAUCCCACAUUGUCCAAAAGUAUUUCUAUGGACAUGCUACCCCAGCCAGAUCCAGCAGGCGCUAAUUCACAAAGGACACUGUUUGAGUCAAAGAAUGCCCUACACCGAGACUACACCAGCAGCCCCCGGCUCAACAUCCCACCACAAGCCAAAAUGAGCCCUGUGAGUCUCAUGACAUCAUCAGGGCGAGAGCAAAGUUAUUCCAGUACGCAUGUCACUAGAUCCAUGAAGACUCAUCAGAUGGAUAAAGGAUUUGAGUCAACAGGAAGGAGAACCAUCACUGAGGGUCAUGGAUAUGUCACCACUCGAUACCCCAGUGGACUAAAUGAUGAGAAGAGACCUUUCAAGACAGACCUCAAAGAAUCAUCCUAUAUUCAAGGGCGCAAACAGAAGUUUACAUCCUCUCCCAUCCCAACCCUGAAAGAAAGAUCUGCCGUAUAUCUCUCAAAGGUUGCAGCUUCAGACGCCUCAGGAUCCACCGAACAGACAGGCAGCGUGACCCAAGAGCACGGAAAGAAGAAACAAAACAAGAUGGCAGAAAUCAACAAACAGGUAAAAGUUACAGAUCCAGCCUGUGGAGAUGAUGAUAUCCCUCCCCCUCCACCUCCUCUACCAAGACCUCAUGUUCUGGAGGCAAUCCAAAAUGAUCUCAGCCAGAAUUUCCUCCCUGUACCACCUCCAAAAGAAACUUUCACAGAGUUCUACCAGCAAAGACAGAAAACUGAACUGAAACGUCUUUUCAAACACAUUCAUCCUGAGUUAAAAAUGAAUCUUGAGGAUGUCGUAGAUGAUGAACUUAUCAAGGCAAUAAAUCCCCAAGCAGGAGAUACAGCAUAUCAGGGAGAAGUCCAAUCCAUGCGAUGGAUAUUUGAAAACUGGAGUCUUGACAAUAUCGGAGACCCACAUGAAACGAAAAAAAUACUUGAUGAGGAAAAUCUUCAAGGUGGGGAUGUGAGGGGCACAUCUUCCUUGUUUGAGCAUUCAGUGUUUGGUGGUCAACAUAUAACAGGUGGUGAGAGACCUGUUUUAGCCCAAGGAGACGUCCGCACCGCCACCUGGCUGUUUGAGACGCAGCAUCUGGAUUCAAUCAGUAAGUCAAAAAUGGAGGAAGAGGAAAUUGUGGAGGUUGUUCUCAAGGAAGCUAUUCAGAAGGGAGAUGUGAGUGGUGCGCGUCUCUUAUUUGAAUCCAAGCCAUUGGAUGCCCUGGGUCGCUGCUGUUCUGUUGAAGAUCAACAUUUCCUUACACUGAAAUCAGAACUAGAGGAAAACAAAGGAGAUGUGAAGAAAACUGUCAAACUCUUUCAAGCAGAUCCCUGUUGUGCUCUUAGGGACAGCAAUGGUCACAUCCAUGAGAUCAAGUCAAUUUGUAGUGAAGAAAUCCAAUGCAGUAACUUUAAAACAGCACGUUGGCUGUUUGAAACUCAACCUUUGGACCACAUUAAUAAAGGAAAAACUGGUGUGCAAAUCAUUCGGGGGAUCUCUCUUGAGGAAGCCCAGAAGAGCGGUGUUGACAAAAAGAGAUGGAUGUUUGAGACCCAACCUCUUGACGCUAUUCGUGAAGGUGUUGUGGAAGAACAAAAUUUUCAAGGAACAGUGGAGGACUUCUCAGGAGAAGCAGCUGUUCAGAACAAACAUACAAUUUUGUCAUCAGCUAAAGGAGAGCUUAUGGGUAAGGAAAGAGAUGAUAUUGUUGGAGGUAAUGUAGGCUCCACCCUGUGGCUUUUUGAGACACAGCCUAUGAACACUCUGAAAGAAAACUAUGAGAUGGGACAUCUCAAAAAAGUUAUGGUAUCCAGCGAUGAAAAAGGAGAAGUUAAAGACAAAAGGCAGCACUUUGAGAAUACCAGAGUUUGUAAAACAACAAAUGAAGGGAGCAAAGUUGAAGACUCAGAAAGAGGAGAUGUCAAGACAUUCAAGAAUCUUUUUGAAGCUAUACCUCUCAGUCAAAUUUCUCAAUCUGAAAAUGCACCCGCUCAAGUCUGUGAUGUUACAGCUGGGGACGUCAAAGGCAACCGAUCACUGUUUGAAUCCACUCCAUUUUAUGCGAUGAAGGACAGUGCUGGAAACUUCCACAAGGUAACAACUGUCAGCAGGGAGGAAUGCUUAAAAGGAAAUGUACAGAAUUACAGAUGGAUGUUUGAGACGAAACCUCUAGACCAGUUUGAAGAAGGUAAAGACAAAAUAGAAGUCAUCAAAGGCAUCACUAGGCAAGAAGACACAACAAAUGAUGUGAGAACAGCUAAAUGGAUGUUCGAAACACAACCUUUAGAUAAUAUCCAUUCAAAAUUCAAUCAGAAAGAAGUGGACUCAACAGCAUCACAGGAGGAAUUUCAAAAAGGUAAUGUAAAGACAUGCAAAUGGCUAUUUGAAACACAACCAAUGGACAUUCUGUAUGACAAAUCUGAGAGAAACCAGGAUGUACAACCGGUGCCAAAGGCUAAUGUGAAAUCACACACUUGGCUUUUUGAAACCCAGCCAUUAGAUAACAUCAAGGACAAAGAUGAAUUCAGUUUGAAAUUGUGCAGUCCUGUGGAGGAUGAUGUAAAAAGUGAUGUCAAUGUGAAGACAGUGAAACACCUGUUUGAAACUGAGACUUUGGACAGAAUAACAAUGCAAACAGAUUCUGCUCAAAAUGUAAGAUAUGUCAGUGAAGUUGACGUCCAGUCUGGAGAUGUAUCUAGAGUAAAAGAUUUUUUUGAAUCCAAGACACUUGAUGAAAUAGGAAGCGAGUGCUUCAAAGAGUCGAAGACUGGGCAGCAAGACAAUGAAAUUCAGUCUGGAUCAGUGCACAAAUUCACUUGGCUCUUUGAGAAUCAACCGAUCUGUGAUAUUAAUGAGAAUGAGGAUCAAAUUAACUAUAGUGUUCAAGAUGUUGAAAGCGGUGAUGUCGUAGGCAAAAAGUUUAUUUUUGAAACUUUCUCCCUGGACAAAAUCAAGGAUAAAGACCAACUACUUGAGAAUCAGUCAAUAAGUGUUGAGAAACCUGUGAACGCAAGCGUUGAUGUUAAAUCCAGCACAAUGCUUUUUGAAUCCCAGCCUUUGUAUGCUAUUAAAGACAAAGAUGGACAGUUUCAUGAAGUUACCACGGUGAAGAAAGAGGAAAUGAUGGGAGGAGAUGUGAGCGGAGCAAGAUGGAUGUUUGAAACGAAGCCACUUGAUACCAUUCAAGCAGACAAAGAGAUUUACAUUAUCCGUGCAGUUACACAGGAGGAUGUGAUCAAGGGUGAUGUAAAAUCAGCUCGUUGGAAGUUUGAGACACAGCCUUUGGACUCCCUCGCAGAAUCUGAAAGACCGUCAAUCAGGAUUGUGGAAGAUUUAAGCCAUGGAAAAAAUGUGCAAGAAAGCAAACAACUUUUUGAGACCGAGCAAGUAGCCCAAAAGAAGUAUGUAAGGAUGGUGAGCGUUACAGAUGUUCGACAAGGUGAUGUGCGCACUUCCACCUGGCUCUUUGAGAACCAGCCAAUCGAUACUCUGAAAGGUGAGCAACAUGAGCAGAAUACCUUGCAGACUGUACAUCGGGAGGAUAACACAAAGGGUAAUGUAAAACGAUGCACUUGGCUGAUGGAUUCCCAGCCCCCAGAUCAGAUUAAGAACCACGAAUCAAACAAAGAGUUUGUUUCGUCAAAGGAAGACAUUCCAAAGGCGGAUGUCAAAAGCACAACUUGGUUAUUCGAAACCACACCGCUAGACAAAAUCAUAGUGGAAAGUGUUACAGACAUCCUCUACCGCCUUUGUCAGCAUUCAUUUAUUCAUUCAAGUGGUAUCAUCAUCCAAGCCGAUGAUUAUAAGUAUGUAAACAUGGCAAAGUAUCAGUUUGUCAACAGUGAGGGUCCUAAAGUUCAAAAGGAGGAAGUUGUUGAGGGAAACAUCAGAAACAUAAUGCUACAGUUAUUGUUCAAACCAAACCUGAAACCUAAAGUUGUUCUUCUUAAAGAGGAUGAAGAAGGAAAGUUGCACAGCACGGUGCUUGAAAUACCAUUUCAACAGGCUGAAUCUGCGGACAACCCAGACUCCGAAUGCAAGAUUCAAGAAGCUGUUACAAUUAUUGAGAGCUUGCUGGUUCAUCAGAAAUCAAUCAAGACAGGCUUGAUAAUGCAAGAAUCAGAAGGAAAACAACCAGAGAUGACAGUGUAUUCCCUCUAUUAUCAAAAAAGUCUGACAACAGAGUCGUGCAAUGUCACACGAGGAGAUGUCAAGUCCACCAUCGGCAACCUUCUUGCCACAGUCCACAGCCAGCAGACCAAGCCAUCCUGCAGGUUAGAAAAAAAUGAGAGGGGGAAUGUUGAUUUGUACAGAAAUUGUAUUGAAAAAGGUGACCUUCAGUUUCUUAAGACUCUGCAGAGAGAGCUUUCUGAAGAGGAACCAACAUCCUCCUCGAAGGAUGAAAAUGAAAUCAUUCAGGGUGACGUGAAGGAAGCAAAGAGACAUCUCAAUCAACAAAGGGAACAAGUUGAGAGAACGGUUCUGGAUGUUGUACCUGGAGAUGUGAAAACCGUUAAAAAGGUUUUCUCAGAGGGCUGUGUAGAUCAGACCGUUGAAAACUGCAUGCCAAAAGAGGAGAUCCUUAAAGGUGAUGUUUUCUCAGCCAAGCAGCAACUUGAUGAAGCAACCAAGCAGCCAAUCAUGGUACAAAGAGAGGAAAUAGUGUCUGGGGAUAUUAAAGCAACACUCGAAUCCUUAGAGCGAGCAAAGCAGCAAAGUAUGCAAGUGGAACGUGAGGUCAUCAUACCAGGCACCAUUUACGAUCUGAAUGUAGAAACUGGCCCAGAGGAAGAUGAAAGUAAAGUAAUAAAGGAGGAAAUAAUUUCAGGAGAUGUUAAGGCCGCCAAAAGGUCGCUGGAAAUGGCGAAGAAUCAAAGUAUUAGAGUUGAACGGGAACCUAUCACUCCUGGAAAGUUAUACAAUAUAAAUGAAUCAUCUCAGUGCCAAAACAUCUCGACAAUGCAGGAGACUACAACAACAUCCUCGAGCAACCAGCGGAUAACUACAACAUUUCGAAAGGUUAGUGAUAUAGAAAAGGAUCAGGGAUCCACUGAAAGUCAUCAGAAUGAAGUGAGAAGGAGAGAUGUAAUAGAUAAUAGUACAGAAAAUGACUCAACAAGGUUAGAUUGUACUAAAUAUCCAGAAACAGAGCCUAAAAUUGUUAAAGGUGAUGUGAAGGCUACAAUUCAGUCUUUACAAAGUGUGAUAAAGGAGCAGAGAAGUGUAGACAGAGAGGACAUUGUAAGGGGUAAUAUGCAAGAGACACUCAAGUGUCUUGAAAAAUCUAGCAUUAAUGUUUCUAAAGGCGAUUAUAAGGCAGCAAUGUUAUAUAGAAAAUCUUGUACAGAAAAGAAUAGGUUGAAAAAUGACUCAGGGAUUGAGGAAUGCAAGCAGAGUUGUGUUGUAACAUUGCCUUCAUCUGAUAUUGAAUUGUCUUCUUCGGUUUCAGUGACUAGCAGUGAGCAUCUGACCUUCUUGGCACUGAACUCGGAACCUAUUAGUUCCACCUUAGACCAUUCAAACCAGCUCCCUAAGAAACAUCCACCACCUAUCCCUCCAAAAACUGCUCUUCAGGUUAAAAGUCAGAAACCAGCCAUUCCACCAAAGCCAUUAAACAUUAUCACUCCUUCUGAACACACUGCAGAAACCCAACAAAUCUGUCCAACUUCAUCAAUUCCACCCAAAAAUACACCAAUGAACAAAACUCCCUUGCGUAAAAAGGAAACAUGGAAUUUUGAAUGCUCAAACAAAAUGAAAGGCAAGCUAUUCAACAAUCAUGAACCAGUUCAAAGAACAAAAGUCACAGAUCCUAUGAAUCUACAGAAAAUGCAGUACACUGAGCAAUGGGUUCAGAAUUCACACAUGCAACAUAUGGACAUGGCAUCAGUCAGCCAGAUUGAGAACAUUUAUGAUAGUUCACUGGCUUGUAAUACACCAGGAAUGGAGAAAAAUGUGAUUCAGAAGAUAAAUGCUGCUGAAGAGAUCAAAAUGUGUAUGCAGAACCACUCAAAUAACAAAGACUUAAACAUGGGAUUUAAAGUUCCGCUUCAGAAUUUUGGGGAGAAGCAAACAGCCAAUAUAGAAACCUCAUCUUCCCCGAAGAAAAUGAAAGUUCUACCAAAUAAAAACAUCCAGGAAGCUCAAGAAUCCCAAGAUAACGCAAUUGAAGUUGCCCUACACCUGCCUAGAAAAGAUAAAAUUAGAAAUACCCCAGAUACACGUGAUGUGCCUUCAGAACUCCACCAAACCUUUGAAGAGAACAAAAACACAGUACAAAAAGUUGUUUUGAGAAAAAAGAAAGUAAAACGGGAAACGGAAGAUGAACGUCGCCAAAGGCUGUCCGUCCACAAAGAGGAGAUCAUGAAGGGCAAUGUGAAAGCAGCAAUGGAGAUCUUUGAAAAUCUUAUGAGACGAGAGGAACUGAAAAUAAUCCUCUCAAAAGUUCAAGAAAUAGAGGGGGAGACGUAUGAGGUUGAUGUCAGAUCUUUGAAGACUUUGUAUGAGAAUGUGCCUGCUUGGAUUGCCAAUCCAGUAAAAAUUAUGAAACAUAGACCUUCAACAAAAGAGAGGAGAUCUGACAGAGAAGCUGAGGGCUCAAGAGAUGAUGUGGAGAGUGUGUCUUCUGUCGAGGCUGCUUUUGGGGAUCUAGAGAAAGCAAGCAUGGACAUUGCAAUUUUGAAAGAGCAGACAUUAGCUAAACUUUUGGACAUCGAGGAAGUUAUAAAAAAAGCGUUGUUUUCCGUAUCGAAUUUAAAGUCAGAAGCUGACAUUGCUGGAUUAUCAAGUCUAUUUAGUGAAUCUUUAAACACUGAAAAUGUUUCUCCAGGUACUAAUAACAUUAGGAAAAUAAGCAUAGCAUCCAGUAAAACAAAGCCUGCACAAUCGAAACAGGUACAUAGCACUGAUAGAUUUGGUAGGAAAAACUAUUCAGAGCUGCCAAAAGACGCAUCACAACAUCAAACGGGCAAACCAUCCUCCAGUCAUCCUUCUUCUCCAUCAUUUAUUUCCAUUCAUUCAGCUGCAAGAAAACCAGUGGAAACAAAAGCAGAUCAACCUAAUCUAAGCAGCACCUUCAAACAGUCCUCAGCUGAGAAAAGCUCUGCCAACCACAUUUGUCGCCCUUCAAGUCCUCAAAGGAACGUGAGCCUUCUUGAGGUACAAACGGUUCCCGAAGCUGGAAGUGGAAUCAUUGGAACAAAGACUGUCAGUGAGAAAUAUGAGAAGACAGAUUGCUUUGGAAAUAAAUAUUUCUCAUCUAAAAGAUCAACAUUUGUAACAAGACAGUCUGAGAGAGAAUUAUCUUCCUCAUUUGAUGUGGUUACCAGUUCAGGGAAGUAUGAUGUCAUGACUCUACCUGUAUCGCACAGGAGCGGCCACACCUUCUCUUCAAAUUCUCCAAGUAAAAAAAAAGACCAAAGCAAAGUGUUUGUUACUUUCGGUCAUUUAGACACAGAAAAACAAUAACCUGGCAGUUCAUUUCCUUUUUUCAAUAGACUUGUUUAAAAGAAAUACUGUAAGAAUUGUGUUUUGGUGAUGUCUUUUUUCCAAUUUCUUCUUUAAAAGAAAAAAAAUAGCUUAUUGAUCCUCAUUUUUUGUGUGUACAGUUAAACAGCUUUGUGAUAUUUAUCUACAUGACGGUUGAGAGGGGUUUUUCAUACAGUUAUAACUUGUGAUUUAAAAAAUGUAGAUAUGUAUGUUUGUUUCAAAUGUUGUAUAUUAAACUAAACUAAAAUACAAAAAACGUACUUGCUGUAAUAAUUUUAUUUUGAAUUUCUGAUUAUUUGUCUUAUUGUUGCUUUCUAUAGGAGUUGAAAUUUUGAAAAAGGUUACAAAAUAUAAACUAAAAUCUUUAAAUGUUGGUGUAAAAAACAUUAAAAUUAUGUCAUCAUUUACACGCCCUCUUGUCAUUUUAAACCUGGAUGACUUUCUUUCUGUUGACAACAUUCUUCAAAAUAUCUUCUUUUGUGUUCUGCAGAAGAAAGAAAGUCAUACAGGUUUGAAAUGAAAGGAUGGUGACUAAAUGAUGACAGAAUUUUCCCUUUGAAUGUGAACCACUAUAGUAUAGAUUUUUUUAUCAUUGGAAGGUUAUGCUCUGUGUACAAGUUUUUGAAUACUUAUUCUGUAUAAUCUAUCUAUGUCUAUAUUGUUGUCAUAGUUCCUGUCACCUGCUAAAGAGAUGUGCUCUGCCUGCCUGACACCAGUUUACACAGUGGAGAAAAUGGUGGCAGAUAAACUAAUCCUACAUUACAGCUGCUUUUGCUGCAAACAUUGUAAAACAAAGUUAAGCCUUCACAAUUAUUCUGC